rnacentral:rRNA from 1 species
GCAUAUCAAUAAGCGGAGGAAAAGAAACCAACAGGGAUUGCCUUAGUAGCGGCGAGUGAAGCGGCAAAAGCUCAAAUUUGAAAUCUGGCUCUUUCAGAGUCCGAGUUGUAAUUUGAAGAAGGUAUCUUUGGGUCUGGCUCUUGUCUAUGUUUCUUGGAACAGAACGUCACAGAGGGUGAGAAUCCCGUGCGAUGAGAUGAUCCAGGCCUAUGUAAAGUUCCUUCGAAGAGUCGAGUUGUUUGGGAAUGCAGCUCUAAGUGGGUGGUAAAUUCCAUCUAAAGCUAAAUAUUGGCGAGAGACCGAUAGCGAACAAGUACAGUGAUGGAAAGAUGAAAAGAACUUUGAAAAGAGAGUGAAAAAGUACGUGAAAUUGUUGAAAGGGAAGGGCUUGAGAUCAGACUUGGUAUUUUGUAUGUUACUUCUUCGGGGGUGGCCUCUACAGUUUAUCGGGCCAGCAUCAGUUUGGGCGGUAGGAGAAUUGCGUUGGAAUGUGGCACGGCUUCGGUUGUGUGUUAUAGCCUUCGUCGAUACUGCCAGCCUAGACUGAGGACUGCGGUUUAUACCUAGGAUGUUGGCAUAAUGAUCUUAAGUCGCCCGUCUUGAAACACGGACC